GAUGAACGCUGGCGGCGUGCCUAAUACAUGCAAGUCGAGCGAACAGACGAGGAGCUUGCUCCUCUGACGUUAGCGGCGGACGGGUGAGUAACACGUGGAUAACCUACCUAUAAGACUGGGAUAACUUCGGGAAACCGGAGCUAAUACCGGAUAAUAUAUUGAACCGCAUGGUGCAAUAGUGAAAUACGGUUUUUCUGUCACUUAUAGAUGUAUCCGCGCCGCAUUAGCUAGUUGGUAAGGUAACGGCUUACCAAGGCAACGAUGCGUAGCCGACCUGAGAGGGUGAUCGGCCACACUAGAACUGAGACACGGUCCAGACUCCUACGGGAGGCAGCAGUAGGGAAUCUUACGCAGUGGGCGAAAGCCUGACGGAGCAACGCCGCGUGAGUGAUGAAGGUCUUCGGAUCGUAAAACUCUGUUAUUAGGGAAGAACAAAUGUGUAAGUAACUAUGCACGUCUUGACGGUACCUAAUCAGAAAGCCACGGCUAACUACGUG
rnacentral:rRNA from 1 species